rnacentral:tRNA from 2 species
CAUCAGAUGACUGAAUGUAAGUACUGGUCUCUUAAACCAAUUUAUAGUAAUUAACAACUACUUCUGAUGA